GUCCCCGUCGAUUAGUGGUUAGAUCAUCACGUUGUGGUUCGUAGAAUUCAAUAAGCAACCGUGAAGACGCAGGCUCGACUCCUGCCAGGGACA